UACGUAGGGUGCAAGCGUUGUUCGGAAUUACUGGGCGUAAAGCGCGCGUAGGCGGGUCUGAAAGUCGAUUGUGAAAUCCCUGGGCUUAACCUGGGAAUGGCAGUCGAAACUUCAGAUCUUGAAUGUCUGAGAGGAUGGCGGAAUAACCGGUGUAGUAGUGAAAUACGUAGAUAUCGGUUAGAACACCUGAGGCGAAGGCGGCUAUCUGGCGGUACAUUGACGCUAAGGCGCGAAAGCGUGGGGAGCAAACAGG
rnacentral:rRNA from 1 species